rnacentral:rRNA from 1 species
UACGUAGGGGGCAAGCGUUGUCCGGAAUCAUUGGGCGUAAAGAGCUCGUAGGCGGCUUAGUAAGUCGGGUGUGAAAACCCCAGGCUCAACCUGGGGACGCCACCCGAUACUGCUAUAGCUAGAGUCCAGUAGGGGAGUGUGGAAUUCCCAGUGUAGCGGUGAAAUGCGCAGAUAUUGGGAGGAACACCAGCGGCGAAGGCGGCACUCUGGGCUGGUACUGACGCUGAGGAGCGAAAGCGUGGGUAGCGAACAGG